GGAAUUCUCAGCAUUUGGCCGUUCACCUUCGCACCAAAAUCCAAAUCCAUUACGGAUUCCGGAAACCACAAAUUCUUACAAUUUGAUGAAUCCGAAAUCUCUGUCUGCUUGAAAAUUCAAUCCUUCUUCCCUCUCCGUUGAAUCCAAAGAAGCCUUGCAGUUGCACGAACUAGAAAUUUCUUCAUCAAUGACGGAGGAUAAUUGCCCUAGAGUUUCAUCUUCUGAAACCGUAGACUCCAAUUCUUCAUCAACGAAGCAAAGGAAACGGAGAAAGUGGGAUCAGCCUGCGGAGACAUUUGUUCCAGAAGGGGUAGCAGUAUCUGGGAUUUUUCCAUUGGUAAAUACUGGUUCUCUUGCUGGUAUCACACUACCUGGCGUAAUUCCAGUCUUGGGUGCUGCUUUUACGAAUCCUCUUACCGCUAUUGGUGCUACUACAGUGCAGCAGCUUCCCGUAAUUAUUGCCCAAAAAUCAGUUCAAGUAAGAUCAUCAGAGAAGAUGUUGCUUAUUAUUUUCUUGUUUGGAAGUAUUCCCCUAUUACAUGAGCCGAAAAUUCAGGAUGAGUUGAUAGCAAGAGAAAUUGUCAUUAAUGAUGCUGAUCCGUCUGUUCGCUACAGGCUCACAAAGCGCCAAACACAGGAAGAGAUUCAGAAGAGCACGGGUGCUGUGGUUAUAACUAGGGGUAAAUACAAGCCUCCAAGCGCACCAUCCGAUGGUGAAAAACCCCUAUACCUUCAUAUUUCUGCAGGGGCACAUCUAGAAACAACACUUGAGAGGAUCAGAGCAGUUGAUCGUGCUGCUGCUGUAGUGGAGGAAAUGCUUAAGCAAAGUCCUGUUAACAAUGGAUUAAAGGUUAAUCAUCUGCUGAGUACCUGUGUGUACCUGGGCUUUGAGGCUGAUCCAUCAGCAAAUAUUACUGUGCGCAUUCGUGGACCAAAUGAUCAGUAUAUAAAUCACAUUAUGAAUGAAACUGGAGCAACUGUCUUGCUAAGAGGACGUGGUUCGGGAUAUUCAGAUGAAGGAGAGGGAGAAGAUGUGCACCAACCUCUGCAUUUACUCAUAUCAAGCAAUAACAGUGCAAGUCUUGAGCGUGCGAAGCUUUUGGCAGAAAAUCUUUUGGAUACUAUUUGUGCAGAGUGUGGUGCUUCUAGAGUCUCUUCUUGUAAGGUUUAUGGAGCUGUUCCGCCUCCACUGCAACCGUUAGCCAGCGUUCAGGUUUCUGGAAGUGAAUCAGAAGUCAAUAACAUACCCACAGCCAAUGUAGCUGCACAGAUUUUGAGCUUCUCAACAGCAGCAGCAGUUCCCGUGACUGCAGCUGCAGGUGUGACUGGUGUUGUUUCUCAGGGUACAGUACCUCAAUCUCUAGGCUCACUGAAUCCUGUGCCAUCUCAACCUCCCACCAGUUGCUAUCCUCAUCAAUUAGUUGCAAGUAGAACAAGCUAUAUUGGUUAUGAUGGUAUAUAUCCCCAAGCCACUGCUUUGCAGCAAGUUGCUUUGGCUCUUAGGCAAUCUACUUCUCCAGUCACUACCACAGUUCCUCCAGCAACAACGGGACCAAGCAUCACUUCACAGACAAGUACAGGUACUGAGAAGGACAAGCGCCCUGCACAGAAGCGUAAAUUUCAAGAAUUGCCGGCUGGUGGAAAAGGCCAAUCAACUGUAAACCAGGUAAUUUCUCUGACCUUGUAUGAAGCUAACAGGCUGUGGAACUCUGUUGGACCUUUGUAUGUUUCACAGGAUUCUGGAUACGGAGGAGGCAUGGGGUUGCUACGUGCUAUUUCAGUUUUAUGGUGCCGAUGCAAAGAUACCAUGCCCCUUCUGGUUUUGGCAUUCUGUCAAAUGUUAAUAUGCUAAUAUGUGCACUUUAUUAAUCAACUUUGCUUCAAGUACUAAAAGGGUAAUGAGAUCGAGAUCACAAUACAUUCUGCCUGUGAGGCUUUCAAACUGUUUCAACUUUACUCUAGAAGAGAAAAUGUUUUCUAUUGGUAUCUGCAAUAUAUGCAUUUUCUAAACAUGAUGAUCUAAGCUCCUUGUAGCAAGUGAUAGAAAAAAAAAGUCAAGCUGCAAAGUUGAAACAGUCCAAUUUAUUCAUGUCAACCAAUAAUUCUUAGGAUCAUGCAUUUAUUUUAAACUUCCCUUGCCUGCUACUAUACAAGUAAAAUAAUGUUAAAAGUAUGCUCUCGAAAAACUCAAAUUUUUAUCUCCUUUUUUCCUGGAAUUUCUAAGUUUUCUGGAUGGACUCUCCCUCCCCCCUUUUGGUUGCCAGAAUCCACUGCAGGGUACGGAGCUUCUAAUGCUUCAGGAACGAAUGUCAGACAAAGGUGAUAGAGACAAAAUUGGUACUCCGGCUCCCAGAAAGUUGGUUCAGCCCUUAUCCAGUUCAAUGCUGCCGCCGCCACCUCCUAGAAUGAUGCCUCCACUGCCACCGCCACCAAAGUUUCAAUCAUCCUCACAGAAAGUGCAUGACAACAAUGUGGUUAAUAAAGCACCAUGUAAAAUUGUUCCAGAUACAUUAGUCCAGCUAAUGGAAUAUGGGGAUGACGACGACGAUGAUAAUGAUGAAGCAAUUGACGGACCUUUGAAAUGUAGCUCAAGUGCGGUAGCAACUCCAAAGCCAUUCUGGGCUGUUUAAUAAUGACCACUGCACAUCUCUUUAGAUUUUGGCAACAGCUGAAUGUGCAUUAGAAGUUGAAUGGUUGUUUUCAAUUGACCUGGAAUUGGCUGUGAACUAUAUAAUAUGUACCCUUCCCCACCCCAGCAAAAAGAUGAGGGGAGCACCAAAUGGAGGAAAAGAGGAAAGGAGAGUUCUGUAGUAUUGUGCCAAGUUGAUAAUACCCGAGUGUAGGUGAUGCCCUAUGUAAAAUGACUUGUAGAGAUUCCGCAACCUUGUAUUUCCAUUAUUCUUUCCUCUAGAAAGUUGAAACCAGAAGUUGUUUGCUGCUGGCUUGUAGUUUCACUCUGAACUCUUUAUAAAACAAAGAAUGCCAGCAGUGUAACCUACUAUUUUGUUUCAGUAUCAAUAUGCAGUUAUUUGAAACUCAGGCAAUUAGCAAGCUA